UACGUAGGGUGCAAGCGUUGUCCGGAAUUAUUGGGCGUAAAGAGCUCGUAGGCGGUCUGUCGCGUCGGCUGUGAAAACCCGGAGCUCAACUCCGGGCCUGCAGUCGAUACGGGCAGACUGGAGUUCGGCAGGGGAGACUGGAAUUCCUGGUGUAGCGGUGAAAUGCGCAGAUAUCAGGAGGAACACCGGUGGCGAAGGCGGGUCUCUGGGCCGAUACUGACGUGAGGAGCGAAAGCGUGGGGAG
rnacentral:rRNA from 1 species